CAAACAGUUGACUUUCAUCGGCUCAUGAUCUCCCAUCCGCCCACAUACUUCCCGAGAACGAGUGGUGAAUGCUACUUUGCAUCCAUUUUCUCUGGUCGGAAACGGAACUCCAAUGGCUUCUAAAUCCACUUUCUCCCAUAUAUCAUCUAACAUCAGAACAAAUCUCUUCCUCUUUAAAACUCUGUGUAUAUCAGCGGCCUUGUCAUCUUCACUUUUGUUCGUUCCGCCAAGGUUUAGCUUUUGUGCAAUAUCUUCUUGAAGCUUUGAAAUAGUCGCACCUUGAGACACCACGACCCAGAUCACAACAUCAAAUCUACCAGCCACUUCAGUGAACUUAUUGUGGAUUUUCUUGAAAAGGGUAGUCUUGCCUACACCUCCCAUACCGUGCAAACCCAUGAUUCCAACUCCAUCUUCCAUAAGGCGAUUCCAUGCCUUUCCCAGCAUUGUUUCCUGACCAAUCGUAGGCCCCGUAGGCCUCUCUUCUACUGCAGAUCUCAAACCCGGCUCAGUAACCUCUUUAGAAUUACCCUCUGAUUUGAGAAUCUGGACCUCUUCCAGCAACAAGAAUACCUUUUUCCCAUAUUUGUAGCUCGAACAUACACUUUUUGAACAUAAACCACAGAGACACAACUUCUUAAGCUCAACAGGACUAGUACUAAGCAGAUCAUUGAACCGUGUAUCGAUGCUCUCGACACGUGUUAGCCAUACCUUGACAGCUUCAAGCCUUUGUUGAUGUUGUGCCUCCUCUCUCGCCACUUUGUUCUUCACCUCAGCUUCAAUUGCCUUGAGAUCAUCCAUUUCCCUCUUCAGAGCCCUGAGAUUCUCCUUGAGGUUUCGAAUAUAACCCUUACCACAUAAGCAUCUGACGAUAUGGUUCAACGUUUGAUCACAGGAAAGUUGGAAAGACACACAAUUCCCCAUGGUGAUAGAAAGAGAGAAAACUUUGAGUAAGCAACAAACGAAAGCUAAAGAUGAAGAAGUGUUUUAUGUGAAAAGCAUUUAACUAAUUCUGAAGAAGGAAGAGAGGAUUAGUUAGAUUUUAGUCUACUAUGCGUUUUAAUUUCCGCCAUUGUUUCGAAGGACGUUUAGUCGUUUACUUUAGAUGCAAUUAUGUUUGAAAAAUUCAAAGGUCAAUUACCAACUCUUAUCAUUAUUAAGAUGCAACUAUGUUUUAAAUUAUACAAAGGUCAAUGAUUUAAUCGCCCAGUUUGGAUUAUUAUGCAACUAUGUUUUAAAAAAACAAAGCUCAAUUAAUGUUUAAUCACUGGGUUUGGAUUAUUAUCAUCACUUGUUGUUAAUUAUUUAAAUCAUUCACUUUCAAAUAUUUGUGAAAAAUCAAUUACUUUAGAAUAUUUUCCAAAUGACAUGGGAACCAAUAACCAUGAUCAAAAACGGUGUGGUGCGAUCGCCCGAAGCCAAAAACAACUUACAAGAAAUCUGGAACAGAGCAGACAAUGGAGAAGUCUAAGGAGCUCGUCAAGGAUAGAAAUCUGGAACAGAGCAGACAAUGGAGAAGUCUAAGGAGCUCGUCAAGGCUGAGAACUCAGAAUGGCCUCCAAAUUUUAUCUGCACCUGAAUUCAGAAUGGCCUAACAAAAAGUGCAGAAUGGCUUAUAAAAAUUGCCCAUACCAAGCAAAAAAAAAAAAAAACAAAGUCAGUCAAUAACAGAUAUCAGUCUCGAAGUUGCUUUUUUGUUUCACCAAAAAAAAAAAAAGAAGAAGUUGCUUCUUUUGUGGGAAAAGCAGAGGUCAUAUAAAGGCUAAUUGUUACAAGUUUCAGAGGAAAGUAAAUCAGUUUUAGAAUCAUCAAGACUAUAUGGAAAAACCAUUGAGAUUCACAGAAGCAAAGAAUUUUAUUUUGGACAUUGAGGAAUAAAAAUCUAAAAUCAAAAUCCAAAGGUACAUUGAAGGAUGUUUAGACCCAAAACGGCUACAAAAGAAAAGAAAAAAAAAAGUUAGUGACACUUGUGGAACGCAUUGAAAUUGAGAGGGACAACAUAUUCUGAAAAUAAAAUUCCUUUUCAACAUGUCUGCAGGGAUUAUCCAACUAGUUCAACCUCACCAUUAAUAUCUUAAGAAGCUGAACUAGGUUUAAACGGUCUUGUUGCGGAUAUCACCAAUAUCAAUUCGUUCAAAUUGAGUUUCCGAUCUGAAUCUUAAGAUGAAAUAGAAACGAGAAAUAAGCAUUAGAAACUACACACAAGAUUUAUCCAGUUUAGGCGCCAACCGCGACCCUACAUCUGGCAGAGACUUCCUCGGAAUUCACUAAGAGAAUGGUUUACAGAGUAGCCGUUACUCUCACUGGAAGAUACCCCGAGAAUCCCUUUCACUCACCGGAAAGAUCUCACAGUUUUCACUCACCAAUUACAAAAAAUGGUAUGUCGAAGAAGAUCUCUCUCUCUCUCUCUCUCUCUCUCUCUUUCUCUCUCUCUCUCUCUCUCUCUCUGCAACUAAUUAAUGACCGACCCGUAGUAACAAACCGAAACAACCCCUGCGCGUAAACACACGCUCUAACGGUCACUCUUCGAUAUCAGCUUCUAGAAGAAGCUCGUAACGAUGACGUCUUGGAGUCUUACCUUAUCCGGUUCACUUAAUCCUGAAAUCAAUAUCCUGACUUCAUUAACCGGAACCUGCUAAUUGAACUAGAUGGUUUAUCAACCAAACCCAUCUGACAGGUUUUUUAACUUUCUCUUUUAACAUUUUUCUCCUCCCAUAUAUUCUUUGCUGAACAAGAAACCCAAAUGCCAAAUGUGAAAGAAAAGAAGAAGAAGAAGAAUUAUUUGUGAUUUGAUCAUUGAAGAACUCAAUACACACAUGUUUUAUAAUUUUGGAAUUAAUGAUACCCCAUACAAAUCCACCAAACACAUGUUUAUUUUCAACGUAAUUUUACAGUUUGUGAUCCAGAUUGUGUUUGUUGAGUAUCAUGAUGCACAUAUGGAUCAUAUCAGUCUGAUAAAACGAUUCAGACCUCAUGCUAACCUUGAGUGAAAGAAACUCAGUAGUAAAAAUAAUUACCCAAACAGAAGAGUUUAAAGGCAUCUCCUAUGUAUAAUUCUAUAUUUUACUCUAUUUAGAUACUCUAUUUUAAAGUAACUUCAAAAUGGAAUUGUGUUAUUGUUGACAAUCUUCCCUUCCUCUUACAUUCACUCUGGUUUGAUUUCUUUCUCUCUUUCUCUCUCCUUCCUUUCUCUCAGUCUCUCUCUCUAGUUCUUGCUCUGUUUCACUCAUUGUUAUUGUUUGCUUGUUCUAUAUUGUUUGCUUGUUCUAAGUGAAAACAAGAAGAAAGUUAGAGAAAACAUUUAAUAGGCUACAUCUUUGAUAUUUGAUCUUUCGAUGCUUUUCUUACACAAACACAACACAUACACUUAUACUACUUGAUACUUGAACUCACUUGGACUCUAGACUUAACCACUUCUUCAAUGCCAUACUUCUAGUACUAGACUAGUUGUACAAGCAACCUUACUUCAAACAUCAUUACCUUUAACAACUCUUAACUAUUCUAACAACUCUUAAAGUAUUCUAACUCUAUACUUAGACACAUACACAAACUCGAUAUUUUGGCUUCUUGGGCUGAUGACAAUUCGCAGGCCCAUUACUCUUAAACAAGAAGCCCAAUCCCUUUCUCCAGAGUUGACUUCUCUUCUUGGUUGACUCUCUUCUUCUUCUCUGAUUCCUUCUUCCACCACACGAGACUUCAUCUUCUUCCUUUCUUCUUCUAAUUGAAGCAACUUUCUUGUUUGCUAGAUUUAAUCAAGGACUCAACCUUCAACAGUUAUCCUCCAAUUUUAUUCCAUGGAGUCAUGACUAAAAUAUUUAGAGUAACUCCAUUUUUAGAGUAACUGUAACAUCCCAAACCCAGCCCAAUUAGAGGAGGCCCAGCAAAUCCAGGCCCACUCCAGAAACCCUAAUAUAAAUAGAGAAUUAGGAGUUAAUGAGCCUCAUUUUGCCUAAUUACCCUAGCCCCCAAAGAAAAGAAAGUGAGAGAGAGAAGGAGAAGCUGCACGCCGUCGCCGAGGACGAGAGCCGCCGCCGCCGCCGGAGAAGGGUGCCGCCGCCGCCGCCGCUUGCCGAGAGAAGAAGGAGCACUCGCCUGCCUCCACCUUCUCAGAAGUUGCUUGAUUCUUUUGCCUCUUCUAGUUCUCCUUAAUCUCAGAUCUGCUUUUAGGCCAAGGUGAGGAUUAGAUCUAGGUCUUUCUUCUUAUCCCUUUAUCUUCUUCUGUUGUGUUGAGUCUAGAUCUGGUGGGACAGGUAUGUCUUCUUGUGCAUCUAGGCAGAUCCAUAUAUAUAUAUANNNNNNNNNNNNNNNNNNNNNNNNNNNNNNNNNNNNNNNNNNNNNNNNNNNNNNNNNNNNNNNNNNNNNNNNNNNNNNNNNNNNNNNNNNNNNNNNNNNNGUAGAAGUCCUAAAGGUCAUAAGUCUGUUUCUGUAUAGUGAUGUUGCCGAAUGCAGGCUUUGUUUGCUGGGUUAUGUUGCCGUCUGUGUGACCGUGGCAAUAAUCCAUUCAUCCGGUGGAGUGAUGACCCACGGGGCUGUCCGUGUGACAGGGUCUCUGUCUGUGUGACAGGGCGUCUGUCUGUGUGACAGGGUGAGAUGUCGACCUGUGUCCGAGUGACAAGGUGGUUUGGCCUAUUGAGAGGCGGGAUCGGAGACAUCACUGCUUGUUAGUUGCUUGUGCACUUGUAGAGUGCUUGUUUGGUUUCAUUAGAUUUAUUCUUAAUAUGUUGGUGGAAAUAAAUGAAUAAGGCGGGAGCCUGGUUUGGUUCUCACUGAGUAAUUCUUCCAAAUUACUCACCCCUCUCUCUCUAAAUUCCGAUGUGCAGGUGAAUGUGAUUGUGAUUGUGAAUGUGAUGAUGUCUGGGAAGAAGUAGACGAGUAAUUCUAGUGUGGUGUGCCUUCAGAAAUGGAGGAAGUUUUAUUGUUUUCAAGAACUAUUUCACAUUUCUUCUUAAGACAAUGUUUCUAUUUUAUUUCAGAUUUCAUAAGUUAUUUCAUUUCUAUGGUAAGACUUAGAUUUGGGUUUGGAUUUGAAUAAAGAACAACAAGUUAUUUGGAAUUGAUUUAGUUUAGGUUAGUUAAUAUCCCGGUUUAUUCUGGUUUCCUUCGGAAGCAGGAAUCGGGGUGUUACAAUUUGGUAUCAGAGCAUGGUUCGAACUAGGUGUUAAGAGAGCUAUCUAGAAUAGUGGGAAUGGGAUUCGGAUUUCAAAAAAAAAAUGGUUUAAAAAGUUUUUAAAAGUUUUCAAGUUUUCAAAGUUCAAAGAUUUUUCCAAAUGUUUUCAAAGAAAGAAAACUACCACCUAGACUGGCCUCUCUAGUUUUUGUUGUUCUUUUCUUUUGCAGGAAGUUAGUCUUUACGGGACCGGACUGACUUAUCUGCCUUUUAUAGUUUUGUAAGCCCGAGGUUGACCAAGUGUUGGACCUUCUCCGGAAAGUUCACCCCCAGAUUGAAAGCAGUGGAAACUGCUGGAAGUGAGCAGGUGAAGACCAUUGGAAUCCAUGAAGAGGUGCCUAUCUUGUUGGAAGGAGCAGAUUUUCCUUGGACUCUAGUGAAAAUGAAGUUGGGCCACUAUGAUGUUAUCCUUGGAAUGGACUGGCUGAAGCAUUAUGAAGUUGUCCCGAAUUGCCGGAAGUCGAGGGCCUAUGUUCCGUAUCAAGGAGGUCGGAUUGCCUUUCAGGGAGUAAAGACCGACACCGGAGUGCCAGUCAUUUCGAUGAUUCAUGCCGAGAAUCUUAUAGAGGAAGGAUGUGAAGCUUUCUUGGCGACAGUCUCUAUGGUAGGAGAGGGAGCACCUAAGAGCCUUGAGGAGAUACCAGUGGUGAAUGAAUACGCGGACGUAUCCAACCAUUGACUGGACCUCCGCCAAGAAGAGGAGUUGACUUCACUAUCGAAUUAGAACCAGGAACAGCCCCUGUUUUGAAGGUUCCAUAUCGAUUGGCACCAGCAGAGAUGGCUGAGCUAAAGAAGCAGUUGGAGGACUUGACGGAUAAAUGAUUUAUUCGGCCAAGCAGCUCGCCAUGGGGAGCGUCCGUGCUAUUUGUAAAGAAGAAAGAUGGAAGCUUUCGACUUUGCAUUGAUUAUAGAGGGCUGAAUAAGGUGACCAUCAAGAAUAAGUAUCCCUUGCCAAGGAUUGAUGAGUUGUUGGACCAGUUAGAAGGAGCUUCAUGGUUCUCUAAAAUUGAUUUGGCGUCAGGCUAUCACCAGAUUCGGAUAGCAGAGGAGGACAUUAGUAAGACAGCAUUCCGAACUCGAUAUGGUCAUUAUGAGUUUGUGGUAAUGCCGUUUGGAUUGACUAAUGCGCCUGCAGCUUUCAUGAAGUUGAUGAAUGAUAUUUUUUUAGAGCACUUGGAUAAGUGUGUGAUUGUCUUUAUUGAUGACAUCCUGGUCUAUUCAAGGUCGGAGAGAGAGCAUGAAUGGCAUUUAGGAAUGAUUCUGCGGAAGUUAAGGGAUCAGCAGCUUUUUGCGAAGCUAAGCAAGUGUAGCUUCUGGCAGAGGAAGAUGGGAUUCCUUGGCCAUAUUGUCUCAGAAGAGGGAGUAGCAGUGGAUCCUGAGAAGAUCACUGCAGUGACAGAGUGGCCUGUACCUAAAAGUGUUACUGAGGUCUGUAGCUUUUUGGGUCUGGCUGGGUAUUAUCGUAAGUUUGUGCCUAAUUUCUCCCGUAUUGCCAAACCUCUCACCAGCUUGACGGAGAAGAAUGUUAAGUUUGAGUGGAUGGAUAAGAGAUCUCAGAGUUUUGAGGAGUUGAAGCAGAAACUCACAGAGACUCCGAUAUUGAUACUUCCAAGGUCAGGAAUACCAUAUGAUGAAUACACCGAUGCCUCUGGAUCCGGGUUAGGAUGUGUGCUGAUGCAGGAAAAGAAGGUCGUAGCNNNNNNNNNNNNNNNNNNNNNNNNNNNNNNNNNNNNNNNNNNNNNNNNNNNNNNNNNNNNNNNNNNNNNNNNNNNNNNNNNNNNNNNNNNNNNNNNNNNNGCUUCGGAAGCAUGAAGUGAAUUAUCCGAUUCAUGAUUUGGAGUUAGCAGCAGUAGUAUUUGCUCUGAAGAUUUGGCGUGCUUACCUGUAUGGGGAGAAGGUGCACAUAUAUACUGAUCAUCAGAGUUUGAAGCAUGUGUUCACUCAGGAUGAUUUGAAUCUGAGGCAGAGGAGGUGGAUAGAAUUAUUGGCUGAUUAUGAUUUGGAAAUUUCCUAUCAUCCUGGAAAAGCCAACCAAGUGGCAGAUGACUUGAGUAGAAGGAGAAAUGCGGUUUCUGAGGCUAAGGAAACGCAGGAGCUGAUAGCGACUUUGGCGAAUUUGAGUUUGUGUGUCGCUGAAGUAGAGGAUGAUGCAGCAGGAUUUGAAGCAUUGGAUAAUGCUGACCUGCUGAUGAGGAUUCGUCAGGAGCAAGCGCAUUAUUUGUCCCUUAAGGAGAUUUUUGAAAAGCAAGUGGUUGGGUACCACAAAGCAGACAACGGGACUUACAUGUAUAGGAAUCGAGUCUGUGUUCCCAUGAAUGAUGAGCUAAGGAGGGAAGUGUUAAGUCAGGCUCAUCAGUCGAAGUUUUCUAUUCAUCCAGGGAACACCAAGAUGUAUCGGGAUCUAAACCGCUACUACCGUUGGUCUGGUAUGAAGCGCGAUAUUUCUGCUUGGAUAUCUCAGUGUUCUACAUGUCAGCAAGUGAAAGCAGAGCAGAUGGCACCAAGUGGACUUCUCCAAAACUUGCCAUUACCAGAAUGGAAAUGGGAUAUGGUAACUAUGGAUUUUGUGACGGGGUUGCACAGGACACUAAGUAAGAAGAAUGCGAUUUGGGUAAUCGUAGACCGUCUUACUAAGUCAGCUCACGCUUUGCCAAUUAAAAAGACGGAUGGAGCAGAGCAGUUGGCGCAGAAGUAUAUUGAUGUUAUUGUGAGGUUGCAUGGAGUUCCAGUGAGCAUAGUGUCGGAUCGGGAUCCAAAGUUUACAGCUAGUUUCUCGCAGGCCUUCCAGAAAGCAUUGGGAACAAAGGUUCAUCUCAGCACAGCAUACCACCCUCAGACAGAUGGCCAAUCAGAAAGGACGAUUAGGACCCUGGAGGAUCUGUUGAGAACGUGUGUCCUAGAUUGGGAAGGAAGUUGGGAGAAGCAUUUGCCUUUGGCGGAAUUUGCUUAUAAUAACAGCUAUCAUAGUAGCAUUGGGAUGGCACCAUAUGAGGCUCUAUAUGGUCGGCCUUGUCGCACACCUCUGUGCUGGACAGAAGUAGAAGAAAUGAGAGUGCUAGAGCCAGAGCUCCUUGAGGAGGCGUCUAAGCAAGUGGAAAUGCUUAAGACAAGGUUGAAAGAAGCUCAUGAUCGCCAGAAGAGCUAUGCAGAUCAGUGAAGGCAGGAGUUGUCUUUUGAAGUUGGUGAUAUGGUGUAUCUGAAGUUGAGGACCUUCAGAGAGAAUGAUAAGCAUCGGCUGAUGAAGAAGCUUAAGCCUAGGUACAUGGGACCGUACCCUAUCCUGGAAAGGAUUGGAGAAGUGGCUUACCGUUUGGAGUUGCCCAAAGAAUUAGCUGAGUUCCAUGAUGUGUUUUAUAUCUCUCUUCUGAGGAAAGUUGUGAGGGAGCCAUAACUCAUUUUGCCCCAGCCGCCAGCAGAUGUAAAGAAGGACUUCUCAGCAGCAUAUCAGCCUGAGGCAGUGUUGGAAUUUCAGGAAAAGGAGUUGAAUGGUAAGAGAAAACCAGCGGUUAAGGUGUGUUGGGAAAGGGAUGGAAUCCGCGAAGAAACCUGGGAAGUAGAGCAGAAAAUGCGGAAGGAAUUCCCGGAACUCUUUAAGGAUAAGGGAGAAACCGGAGGAGUGGGAGAGAAUUCGGGGACGAAUUCUAUGGAAGUAGGGGAGAGUGGUAACAUCCCAAACCCAGCCCAAUUAGAGGAGGCCCAGCAAAUCCAGGCCCACUCCAGAAACCCUAAUAUAAAUAGGGAAUUAGGAGUUAAUGAGCCUCAUUUUGCCUCUAAUUACCCUAGCCCCCAAAGAAAAGAAAGUGAGAGAGAGAAGGAGAAGCUGCACGCCGUCGCCGAGGACGAGAGCCGCCGCCGCCGCCGCCGCUUGCCGAGAGAAGAAGGAGCACUCGCCUGCCUCCACCUUCUCAGAAGUUGCUUGAUUCUUUUGCCUCUUCUAGUUCUCCUUAAUCUCAGAUCUGCUUUUAGGCCAAGGUGAGGAUUAGAUCUAGGUCUUUCUUCUUAUCCCUUUAUCUUCUUCUGUUGUGUUGAGUCUAGAUCUGGUGGGACAGGUCUGUCUUCUUGUGCAUCUAGGCAGAUCCAUAUAUAUAUAUAUAUAUAACUAAUAAGAUCUAGGAUCUCAUUAGAGGAAGAACCAGCAUGAUUGAUUGAUAACCCUGUUGAUUGGUUAGUGAUUGGUAGAAGUCCUAAAGGUCAUAGUCUGUUUCUGGUAUAGUGAUGUGCCGAAUGCAGGCUUGUUUGCUGGGUUAUGUGCCGUCUGUGUGACCGUGGCAAUAAUCCGUUCAUCCGGUGGAGUGAUGACCCACGGGGCUGUCCAUGUGGCAUGCCGGGAUUGGUCUGUCCGUGUGACAGGGUCUCUUUCUGUGUGACAGGGCGUCUGUCUGUGUGACAGGGUGAGAUGUCGACCUGUGUCCGAGUGACAAGGUGGUUUGGCCUAUUGAGAGGCGGGAUCGCAGACAUCACUGCUUGUUAGUUGCUUGUGCACUUGUAGAGUGCUUGUUUGGUUUCAUUAGAUUUAUUCUUAAUAUGUUGGUGGAAAUAAAUGAAUAAGGCGGGAGCCUGGUUUGGUUCUCACAAAUUAUUCACCCCUCUCUCUCUAAAUUCCGAUGUGCAGGUGAAUGUGAUUGUGAUUGUGAAUGUGAUGAUGUUUGGGAAGAACUAGACGAGUAAUUCUAGUGUGGUGUGCCUUCAGAAAUAGAGGAAGUUUUAUUGUUUUCAAGAACUAUUUCAUAUUUCUUCUUAAGACAAUGUUUCUAUUUUAUUUCAGAUUUCAUAAGUUAUUUCAUUUCUAUGGUAAGACUUGGAUUUGGGUUUGGAUUUGAAUAAAGAACAACAAGUUAUUUGGAAUUGAUUUAGUUUAAGUUAGUUAAUAUCCCGGUUUAUUCUGGUUUCCUUUGGAACCAGGAAUGGGGUGUUAUAAUAACUCUAUUUUUAAAGUAAUUCCAUUUUUUUAAUAGUAACUCUAUUUUGGAGAGAAAUAUGAAGUAGGUUUAGAGAGAAUUUUCUUCAAACUCUAUUUUGGAAUGAAAUUUGGAGUAGAGUAGGAGAUGUCUAAGAGAACUGAUUACCCCAUCAAAUGAACGCAAGAAACGAUUCUCGGUAUCUUCGUCCUCCAUUCAAGCUCAGUUUUUUGUUCUCGAGGAAUCAAUCUUAUUACAAACUGGCCAACUCAUGAGAAACUUGUAGCAUUUAAGGGUAGCUUUCUCAGCUUUGGACAGAGAUCAGCUACUAUGUGCUUCAGAAAUGGAAAGGCAAGAGGACUCCCGUAGAUACUCUACAGCUUAGGCAAAUUCCUAAAUGUUAUAAAUUUUAGUUUCUGAAAUGGUCUUAUACCUGUAAGAUUGUUACUUUUUUUUUUACAAUGUCUUCCAGUCUUCUUGAAUUUUCAAUCUGUAGGUAGACAAGAUAUAUUGACUAGAUUUUGUUGAAAAAUGUCAAUCUCUAAAACAUUGCUGCAGUUCGCCAACCUUCAAUCGCCCAAUAAUUGCUCUAAAUCCAACUCCGCAGAUAUGAUUAUGGUUAGAACUUGUGGAUUCUCCAAGAGCUGAAGCUCCUUCAAUAAGCUAGCAUCUCCAUGAAAAUUAGAAUAUUAUAGUUUCAAAAUUCUUUAACUUGAUACUUUUGAUAUCCCAUUGAUACUAGAAAGUCUCUAUGUAACAAUCAAAUUCAGCUGACUUCGCUUUUUAAUAUCUUGGUAGCCAACAUGGAGUUGCUCUAUACUGUAUACGACAAGUCAAGAUACUGCAAGGAUGCCAACUCUGAUAGCUUUUUCAUAAAGCGGAUGAAUUUACCUGAGAGAUUUUUCAAAUUGUCACUCUGGAGGAACAUAGUUGUAUAAGUUCAGAGCACUUGGAAAUGCAAGUUAUCUCUUUAAUCGUAUUCUUCAUUAAAGACAUCCUUCUCACAGCUUUCCAAUGCUUGACUUUUGGUAUUUCAUGUAGUCCAACAUAACCCUUAUUCUUCGCUCUUUUAAAAACUUGGCAUUCUCCAAUGAAUCCCUAGAUCACGUACUCUAUCAAUUUUUCUUUAUCUAUUCGAACAUCUUCUGGAAACAGAGCACAAUAAAAGAAACAUGACUUGAUACGUUCAUCCACCAAGCAAUUGUAGCUGUACUGGACAUUUUGCUAAUGUUGAGCAAACAUGACUUUAUCUAUAGAGGAAACAUGACUUUAUCUAUAGUGUUUUUGGUCAAUAGGUGGAAUGCAUUUAGCUAAUGACGAUGAAAGAGAGAGAGAUUGUGUUAGAUUUCAUUCCUCUUUGCUUUGUAAUUUCUCCCAUAGUUUCAAAGUCGUCGACUUGAUGCAACCAUGUUUUUAUAAAGAUGAUUAAUCCCCAGUUUCGGAGUAUUUUAAUCACAUUAGAUGCCACUAUGUUUUAAAAGACAAAGCUCAAAUUCGUUGACUUGAGCUUUUCAAGAACGAUUUGAAACGUGUGGCUGAUGUCCCAGAAAGAAAUGCACCUGAUUUCAGAAUGGCCUCCAGAAACCUGCACCAUACCAAGUAAAAUCAAAACAAAUUAAAGUCAGAUAAUAAAAAAUUAAAAGAGGAAUGCUUCUGGGGGACAACUCCUAAGCAGCAUUGCUCUUAGAUUUAGAAGGUUCAAGAAGAGAUUAUUUCUGUACCAGCAAAACUUGGCAUAUUCUGAGGCUUAAGGAGGAUAUAAAACGUUGGUUGAAAGCUGUGUGGUUCAAGAGAGCCACUCCAAAGCAUGCUUUCACCUUUUGGACGGCAAACUAAGACAGGUUACCACUGAAAACAAAGCUUGUGAGCUGGGGAAUUAAUAUCUCUCCAACAUGCUGCCUUUGUGACAUGGAGGAAGAGACUAGAGACCAUUUGUUUCUACACUGUCCAUUUUCUGAAGCAGUUUUGACCAUGGGGAUUCGGUGACUCGGAUUUUUUUGGAGUCUCAUUCUCUAAUUGGCAGUCCAUGAUCAACUGGAUGCUUCAACGAACACCAAGACUCUCCUCUACUUACUUGUUAUGGGGUGAACGAAACCAGAUAAUACAUGAUGGUCCUCUAUCUUCUGAAAACCAUCUCUUCGAUUAGUUGGAUAGACUGAUUAGAGACACAUUGUUGGCACACAAUCCCAGCGUAACUAUAGGGGUCUUCUAUCUCUUUGGUUUAAGAACCACUAGUUCUUCAAGCUCGAUUGUAAUUCUACUAAAAUGAUCUGUUUCCAAGCCUUUUUCCUUUUUUAGGCUUUUGAAACAGUGGCUGAGAGAUUUAUAGAAUAGUAGCGGAUUAAGCAAGAAUAUAGAGAGAUUUAGGUGAGAUUAAUGAAAAACUAAAGAAAAGAAGAGAGAAUCAAGAGAUUUAGAGAGAAAGAAAUGUAUUCUCAUUUUCUUAGAUCUAUAGAAAGCUGCUACAUUGUGUUUAAGUAGGAAGACAAAGAAAACUCUAACACAUAUGAGUAUACUAAAUACCUUAUAAAGUUUUAUAAAGUUUUAUAAAAUCUUAUAAAGUCUUAUAAAGUCUUUUAAAGUUUUCUAAUUGGAUUCCCACCAGAAAAGCUGAGAAUGAUCCAUCUUGUUUAACAGUGGCUAAUGUAAUAUACAAUAUAAUUCAAAUUUUAUUAAAAAAAAUAUAAGUUGCUUCUUUUGUGGGCAAAAAACAGGUCAUACAAAAGCUCGUCGUUAGUCUUUACAAGUUUCAGAGGACAGUAAUAUAUAAAAUCAUCAAAUAAUAUCGAAAACCCAUAGAAAUACACAAAAGCGUGUGUUCAAGAGGAAAGAAUUGUACAAGAAUAAUCUAUAACAUGUUGCAUCUAAUUGUGUCGAUGUUACAUGGGAUCUUCUUCGUCCAUCUACUAUAGUCAUAACAGGAUGUUAAAGCAAGACUUAAAGAUGAUGGAUCCGAGUCUGAAGUUACAGAAACGUGGAUUAAGCAAUAAAUUGGAGAUGAUGAAAAUAAGUUAUGCCCAAAGUAGCUUAUGAUGUGGAAGUGGGUUUUGUUUUUUUUUGCGAAUCCUAAAAGAUUAUUGUGUUGUGCUGAUUCUACGUUAGUCUUAGAAGAAUGGAGUGUGUAAAAUAGAGAAAAUUUUAUAAAAGAAGUAACGUUCAUAUGUAGAAAAGCAAGCUUUUGAAUGAAUAAUGGCUUGGUUUAUUUUUCUGUUGAAAGAAAAAAAAAAUUAUUUAAUAUUUCAAAACGAGUGUAAAAGUGAAAUACUUUCUCGCGAUAGAAAAAGUAUUUCACUUUCUCGCGACAGAAAAAAUAUUUCACUUUCUCGCGACAGAAAAAGUAUUCCACUUUCACUGCUGGUGAUCUAAAUGACGAUCCCAAAUAAACAAAUAAUAUUAGAAAUUUAUCUAUACACUAUUAUUUGCGAAGUUAAAAAUUUUAGGUAUUGUCCCCACAACAAUUGUUCUACGUGGCAUUAAUGAAAAAAUAUUAUUUAUUGUUUUAAUUUGUUUUAAUAGAUCGAUCAUUAAUCUUACGUGUAAAAACUUGUGACUUGGCUUUUUUCUUCGAUAAUGGGCUACAGAGUUUGUUCAUGGGCCAGCGAUUUUUUUUUUCACUCAUAGCCACCGAUUCUGGUAAUAGGGCACCGACGUCGAAACCCUAAACUCUAAAGAAUAUAUCCUACUAUAUAUACAUGUAUUAUCUACAUAUAUUUUUACAUACAACAACUGUCUUCAAGGUCUAGCAAUUUUUACAAAACUCGUCCACCUCUUUACACGAAUACAUCUUUUGUAUAUCCCAAUCUAGUUUAAAAUAUAUCGUUUAUUUAGUUGGUUGUUCUUCCAUGCUAACUUUUGAAUCGUUUUGUUCUGAUCGAGAUUCUUUUAUGCUAACCAGUCAAAUAUCUAUGUUUUUUUUCUAUCGUGUUCUAUAUUAUUAUGCAUCACAACUAUUUUAUUUUUUAAUCCCUGUUUUACUCUCUAUGCGAUUGGUCAUCGAGAUAUCAUAUUUGUGUUCUUUCUUUUGCUUUGUAAUUCUAUAUAUAAAAUUCGAUGCUUCAGUAUUAGAUAUUCAUGUUUCUCUUUAUUAAAUUUUUCUUAUGGUUAUAUUGAGUUAUUAUUCGUAAAUAUAGAUUGACCUGAGCUUCUUUAUUGUUUUCAUUGAACCUAGAGUUUAUCGUGCAAACUAUAGGUGAUUGGUUCAAACUUUUGCAAUCAUAUCUUCAAAUGAAUCUAACAGGUAAUUGUAAAUAAAUCAUUAGUACUUUUUUUUGUCAACAACUUAUUAGAACUUCCAAUUUUCUUAAUUGAUAUUCGUAAACUCUAUAAUUUAUUAUUUUGAUAUUCUUAAAAGGAUCAAAACCAUAGAAAUGAGUUUUUUUUUUGUGUGUAUAAUUCAUGUUUUAGUUUAGGUUUGUAUUAAUUUUUCUGGUAACAUAUUGUGAAUGAAUGUUAUUUAUUGUUUGAUUGUUUGAUUGUUCUUUGUUUCUCCUUGGGUUCUACUAUACAUUUUCUUUAUAUUGUUGUUUAUGUUUAUUUUUAUUUCUAAAUAUAAUUUUAUGGUUUUUGUGGUAGCUUUUGUGGACAUGUAAAAAAAAAAAAAGGAGUAACCAUUUCAGAUUAAUUUUGGUUUCAUAGUUUACUAAAGAUAUGUAACAUGAACAAAACGUCUAUUGUUUUAUAAAAUUCCCAUUGUUUUCUACCCAAAGGCAAUUAUGUUGGUUCUGGAAAAAAUGUUUUAUAGUUUUGCUUUUUACCCAACACAUUCUUUUAUCAGAAAAACAUUAAAUCACUCUCAAGAUUAAACUUAUCAGGCAUUAAAGCAAUAUUUUUGUUGGUAAGUCGAUGAAUGAGAAUGUGAUGUCUCAUAACUUCAAAGAGCAAAGGAAAAAUAAGUGACAACGAGACUAGAUUCGGUGUGAGUAGAAUCUUUACGCAUGUUAAGUAUUUGUUGAUAUACAGCAAUCAUAUUGAGAACAGAGUGCAAACCAAUUGCAAAUUGCACCAUCCAAUUGGUGUUAAAUUAUAUUAUGGUUAAUCCCUGACCCAUUUCUUAGUUUCAUCAUUAAUUAAUGAAUCAUCAGUUUUUUUUAACCCCUGAUGAGAGAUAAAAUCAGCUGAAGGAAGGAAAGUCACCAAUACAGAGGAAGAAGAAUAUUUGCUAUAAAAUAUUCAGGUCUUAAUUUUCAUCAUCCUUGUAAUUUGUUUCAGCUUGCUAAAACUACUUUUUUAGUGUUGCAGACUUCAUCGGAAUACCUAAUAAAUUGAUGAUUCUCUGAUACCAGAAUCUAAGAAAUAUACUCACACGUGAUAAACUGAAAUUUUUGUGAAUUGCAGAAUGAACAUACUCACACGUUGCAUUUCUUAUAUGUUUUGAUGUGAAACAAGUAAUUCUUCUGUCAUAUAGCUUUGUUGCUUUAAAAUUAAUCAGUCUGCUAUUACCAGUUACUUUUAAAUCAGAAUUUCAUAACGUAAUGUGGUAGCAUAAUCCAAAUUUGUUGAUUUAAGUAGGAUAUCCCGAAUAGGAAAUGUUGUAGUUCGUGUAUGGCAUACUUCAAAUCUUAGAAUAUGUUUUGGCUUGAGUCUUCAAGAUGUGCUAGAUAGUUAUCAACUUAUCAUCUUGAGGAAAUGAACUUAAAGAAUUAUAUAAGAGAUAUACUCAUAAUUCAUAUAUACUAUAAUCCAUUUUAUUGCCAAUUUUUUUUUUUGAGUUAGAACCUAUAAAACUUAAAAACAUAUAUCAUGGUAGAAUCAAGUGUCAUCUCACUAAGACUUAUUAUGCUCAUAUAUGGUUCUAUUGAUUUUAAAAAAAAAAUAAUAAUUAAACAUACGAAUUAACCAAAAUAUAGUUUUAAAAGUUUUAAGGUCUGCUAUGUUUUUUUAAAGUGUUAGAGCAUUUUCAUCCCUUAAAUCUAUUAGAGGUUCUUAAACAUAUUUUAAUAUUAAAUUUGUCAAAUAUUUUAAUAUUAAAUUUUAAACUGCUUAUCCUAAUCAAUUAAAACACGACACCUAGCUAAGAGAUUCAUUAAAAUCGAUCCUUAUUUAAGAAUCACAAUAACCAGUCCUUAAAAUUAAAUGCAUUUUUCAAUUAAUUUUAAACCCACUUUUCCUCUAAUAUCCCCAUAGGAUAUCACCGAAGAGGUAGGUGGUCUUACUUUGCUAAGCUUCAAAUUGUAUUGUCUUCACUCUUCAGUAUAAGACUAAUGAACAUUUAGUUUACAAUUUUGAAUUUUCUAAAUGGAGUAGGCCGAGAUCAGGCCCAGGCUAUAACCGCUUCUUACAGGCUAUUGAUGCAAUCAAAUGUUACAAAUUGCAAACGGCUAUUUGCUUUGUGUUAGCAUUGGUCCAUUGAAUUUUCAAUUUUUUUUUAAUAACUUAUAUUGAGUCAUAUGGAAAUGGACAACACUCAGUUUAAUAAUAGAUGUCCGGUAUCGGUUCUUAUCAGCACCGCUGCUUUGUAUGUAGUCGCCGUCUGCAAGAAUCAUUCUGAGAAAUGCUAGACAAAAGUGAGAAAGACGAUUUCGUAAAAGAAAGAAGAUUGAGUUUUGCCAGAAACUACUCUACAAGAUUGUUAUAGUUUCUGGACACGCAGCUAAUUCAAACGACGAACCAAUGUUCAAGACCGGUGGGCGGUGAAUUGCGAAUUUGUUUUUGGCUGAAGAUUUGUUCUUGGGUUCUUGUUUUAAUGUUCUUAAUGUGGUGAAGCCAUUAGGAAAGGAAUGUGAAAACUCUUAAAAUUAAGAAGACUCUUUCCAUGUCUUCUUAAGUGAAGUUGUCUCUAGUUAUUGCCCCAAAUCAGAAAGCCACUAGACAUAGUUUAGGAUUAGAUGGAAGUCACAGCAUCUUCAGAUUUAAAUUAGAGAGUCUGAAAAACAGGAUCUUCAUGAUUCAGCAAAAUCAUAUAACUUUUCAUCUUGAUUCCUCCUGUUAACAACACAUACACACUGCAAGAUGAAAUAGAAAAAGCUACAGGUAGAGAAAUUUCAUUUUGGAUAGUGAGGAAUCAAAAUACACAGUAAAUUCAGAGGCAUCACAUGCUUUUAUGAUAUAUCCUUUCACGUAAAAGCAUAAAAAAACUGUUGAUUAUAUAAAUACAUGUAGCUUGAGAAGGAAGCAAUCCGCCUUAACUUAUUACAUAGAAAAAUGAAAAAGAAAAUCCAAUUUAAAAACACAACACACUGCAGAGAUGUAUGAGACUGCAUAGGAAAAACAAUAAUACAAUCCAAAUGAAGAACACAUCAUACUUUGAGAAGAAAGAGAAAGCAGAAGAAGAAGCGUGGAUUCUGGUUUAUCACAGUGAGGAAUUCCAAUCCAAAUUGAGGGAUGGUUAGUCCUAAUAACUCAGUACUAUAAGAAAAAAAUAAAUAAACAAAGUUAGUGAAUAUUCAGAAAAAUACAUUUCACCUAAAACUGCUAGGAAUAUCCAGCAAAUUCUGCCUCACCAUUUAAUAUCUUAAUAAGAAGCUGAACCAAUUUUCAACAGUUUCUAUUAAAUAUUUGUAUAUAUUCCUUCAUUAACGAAUGUGAAAGGAAAAGAAGAAGAAAGAAAAUACUGUUUGUGAUUUAGUAGUCAUUUGAAGAGUUCAAUGCACAUAUGUAUUUAAACUUUUGAAAUUAUGACCCCUCGUAAAUAUCCAACAAACACAGGUCUGAUGAUUUUCGAGAUAAUUUUCUAAUUUUGUGACCCAAUUUGUGUUUUGUUGGGUAUCAAUGUAUCAUGAUGCAAAUGGAUCAUAUCAGACUAAAAAAAAAACGAUCACACCUCAUUCUAACCUUGAGCAAACAUGAAAGAAACUGAAGUAAGAUAAAAUAAUUUAUUCAAGCGGAAGAGAAUAAGAGAAAUGAUUACCCCAGCGAAUAAAAGGCAGGAAACGAUGUUUAGUAUCUUCAUUCUCCCAUUCCAGCUCAGUUUUCUGUUCUCGAGGAUACAUAUUUAUUUUAAACCCGCCAAGUCGUGGGACACUUGUAGCAUCAAAGGGAAGCUUUCUCAGCUUUGGACAAUCAUAUACUCCUAUGUGCCGCAAUGAUGGAAAGGGGAGAGGACUCCAGUAGAUACUCUCCAGCUCUGGCAGAUUUCUCAGGACUAAGUGUUCUAGUUUCUGAAAUGGUGUAGUACCUGUAAGAUUGGUUGCUUUCUCUUUGUUUAUGAUUUCUUCUAGUUCUCCUUCGAAAAUUUCUAGCCGAGUCAGAUUUGGAGAAAACAGUAGCCAAGUCAGAUCCUUAAUGCCAUGACAGCGAAACAUUGUCACGACGGAGAGGUUGGUAAAGCAUGAGCUUCCUCUGCAUUUAAUAUAUGUAUCAAUCGCCGACACAUGACUACUCACAUGGAGCUCACGAAGAUUCUCCAUACUCAACAGCGAUGACAUAUUGAAUGGCUUUUCCUCAAAUCCCACAAUACCCAGAUAAUUGAUGCAGUUAGCCAACUCGGUAGAGAUCGUUAUAUAUGCUUCAAACCCAACUCGGUAGAGAUCGUUAUCUGUAGAACUUGUAGAUGCUCCAAGAGCUGCAGCUCCUUCAACAAGCUAACAUCUCCAUGAACUUUAGAAUAUCUUAGUUUCAAAAUUCUUAAACUCGACAGCUUUGAUAUCCCACUGAUACUACAAAGACUCUUUGUAAAAGUCAAAUCCAGAUGAAUUAGCUUUUUCAACUCUUGGAAACCAACUGGCAGUUGCUUUAUACUUGUGCCCGACAAGUUAAGAUACUGCAAGGAGGCCAGCUUCGAUAUCUGCCGAUAUCGAUAUUACGUGAUAGAUCCAAAACAACUAGCUUUUGCAUAGAGCCGAUGAAUUCACCCGAGAGAUUCUUCAAAUGAGUAUUACGGAGGAGCAGAGUUGUAAGUUCAGAACACUUGGAACCACAGGUUAUCUUUUUAAGCUCAUUCUUCAUCAAAGACAUCCUUCUCACAGCUCUCCAAUCCUUGACUUUUGGCAUUUCGUGUAAUCCGACUCCUGCUUGAACCAAAAAAGUCUCUUUCUGUUUCCCAAAGUCGGAUGCAAUCCAUAGAGCCAUUUCGCGAACCACGUCAUGCAUCACAACACCUCUUCUACUAUUAGACUGUUCUGUCAGUAAAUUUGCGCGGAUAAGGGUACCAAGUACCUCAUAACCCUUAUUCACUGCCCUUUUAUAAGAUUGGUCUUCCUUGAUGAAUCCUUCGCAUAUCCAGUACUCUAUCAAUUCUUCUUUAUCUUCAGGAAACAGAGCACAAUAGAGGAAACACGACUUGAUAUGUUCACCCGCCAAGCUAUCGUAGCUGAACUUCAGAAUUGGCAGACCUUUUUUGCAUGCUCGACAAUGGCAGGAUCUCUACUUAAUGUGUAGUCUCCUACCUUGCUUUUGAACAAUUCCCAUGCUUCUUCUUGUCCCAAACAGUCGACUUUCAUCGGCUCAUGAUCUCCCAUCCGCCCACAUACUUCCCGAGUGGUGAAUGCUACUUUGCAUCCAUUUUCUCUGGUGGGAAACGGAACUCCGAUAGCUUCUAAAUCCACUUUCUCCCAUAUAUCAUCUAGCAUCAAAACAAAUCUCUUCCCUUUUAAAACUCUGUGUAUAUCGAUUGCCUUGUCACUUUCACUUUUGUUCGUUCCGCCAAGGUUUAGCUUUUGUGCAAUAUCUUCUUGAAGCUUUGAAAUAGUUGCACCUUGAGACACCACGACCCAGAUCACAACAUCAAAUCUACCAGCCAUUUCAGUGAACUUAUUGUGGAUAUUCUUGAAAAGGGUAGUCUUGCCUACACCUCCCAUACCGUGCAAACCAAUGAUUCCAACUCCAUCUUCCAUAAGGCGCUUCCAUGCCUCUCCCAGCAUUGUUUCCUGACCGAUCGUAGGCCCAGUAGGCCUUUCUUCUACUACAGAUCUCAAAACCGGCUCAGUAACCUCUUUAAAAUUACCCUCCGAUUUGAGUUUCUUAACCUCUUUCAGCAACAAGAAUACCUUUUUCCCAUAUUUGUAGCUCGAACAUACACUUUUU
rnacentral:lncRNA from 1 species